rnacentral:rRNA from 1 species
UUNUGAACUGGGUAGCUAGAGUAUGUCAGAGGGGGGUAGAAUUCCACGUGUAGCAGUGAAAUGCGUAGAGAUGUGGAGGAAUACCGAUGGCGAAGGCAGCCCCCUGGGAUAAUACUGACGUUCAUGCUNGAAAGCGUGGGUAGCAAACAGGAUUAGAUACCCUGGUAGUCCACGCCCUAAACGAUGUCGAUUAGCUGUUGGGCAACUUGAUUGCUUAGUAGCGUAGCUAACGCGUGAAAUCGACCGCCUGGGGAGUACGGUCGCAAGAUUAAAACUCAAAGGAAUUGACGGGGACCCGCACAAGCGGUGGAUGAUGUGGAUUAAUUCGAUGCAACGCGAAGAACCUUACCUGGUCUUGACAUGUACGGAAGAACUCAGAGACGAGUUUGUGCCUUCGGGAGCCGUAACACAGGUGCUGCAUGGCUGUCGUCAGCUCGUGUCGUGAGAUGUUGGGUUAAGUCCCGCAACGAGCGCAACCCUUGUCAUUAGUUGCCAUCAUUUAGUUGGGCACUCUAAUGAGACUGCCGGUGACAAACCGGAGGAAGGUGGGGAUGACGUCAAGUCCUCAUGGCCCUUAUGACCAGGGCUUCACACGUCAUACAAUGGUCGGUACAGAGGGUAGCCAAGCCGCGAGGUGGAGCCAAUCCCAGAAAACCGAUCGUAGUCCGGAUUGCACUCUGCAACUCGAGUGCAUGAAGUCGGAAUCGCUAGUAAUCGCAGGUCAGCAUACUGCGGCGAAUACGUUCCCGGGUCUUGUACACACCGCCCGU